rnacentral:tRNA from 1 species
CAAAAAAUAGUUCAUUAUUAAAGAAUAUUAAUUUUGGAGAUUAAAGGUAAUUUAUUUAAAUAAUUUUUUUUGA